AGUGAACGCUGGCGGUAGGCCUAACACAUGCAAGUCGAACGGCAGCACAGUAAGAGCUUGCUCUUACGGGUGGCGAGUGGCGGACGGGUGAGGAGUACAUCGGAAUCUACUUUUUCGUGGGGGAUAACGUAGGGAAACUUACGCUAAUACCGCAUACGACCUACGGGUGAAAGCAGGGGAUCUUCGGACCUUGCGCGAUUGAUUGAGCCGAUGUCGGAUUAGCUAGUUGGCGGGGUAAAGGCACACCAAGGCGACGAUCCGUAGCUGGUCUGAGAGGAUGAUCAGCCACACUGGAACUGAGACACGGUCCAGACUCCUACGGGAGGCAGCAGUGGGGAAUAUUGGACAAUGGGCGCAAGCCUGAUCCAGCCAUACCGCGUGGGUGAAGAAGGCCUUCGGGUUGUAAAGCCCUUUUGUUGGGAAAGAAAAGCAGCAUGUUAAUACCCCGCUGUUCUGACGGUACCCAAAGAAUAAGCACCGGCUAACUUCGUG
rnacentral:rRNA from 1 species